GGGCGAUUAGCUCAGUGGAAGAGCGCUUCCUUCACACGGAAGAGGCCACUGGUUCGAUCCCAGUAUCGCCCACCA
rnacentral:tRNA from 5 species